rnacentral:rRNA from 1 species
AUGAGGGAUUUUCUAGAUUUACAAAACAGUCCUGUAAUUUUACAAGGACAACCUUCAGGCAAAAAACAAAAAGCAAUCUUCUCCAUCUAUGGAUUUUGGGCUGCUGAAGGGAGUAGAGCGCACCGGCACACGCGUGUGGCUGCUACAAGCUCACCUCGUCGGAGCUCUUGGGAGGCUGCGAGCUCGCUCAACUCGCCGCUGCUUCGCGCCACCGCCCGCCACUGCUGCUCGCGGCCGCGCAGCCGCCCGCCGCUGUUGCGCACCGCCACCAGCCGCCGCCGCUGUACGUCGCCGCCGAUGCUCGCACUGCCUGCAGCUGCACCGCUGCUGCGCGUCCCCGUCGCUUCUGCUCGCGACCGUGCCGUUGCUGUGCGUCGCCGCUGCUGCUCGCACUACUCGCGGCCGCACCGCUGCUGCGCGUCACCGCCGCUGGUCGCGGUCGCGCCGCCGCCGCUGCUUGACCAGUGA